AAUUUAGAAUUUUCACAACUGUCACUUUUUCGUUGAACCACUUUGUCGCAAUAUGACGCAACGACAAAACGACUCUGCCACUGUUACCCGCUUCAUCGAGGCUGUUUAGAAAAUAGUUCCGCUUUACAUUGUAGAAUUCGCUUU